UUAAAAGCAAAGACGGGGCAUAGUAGCUUCAUGAACUUGUAGUUGCAGAGAACUGAUGGUUGGUGUGAAUCAGUACAAACAUGAAUGUGAAUUACUCUCCUGAGCUUCUUUUUCGAACAUUUGAUUUCUCAAAUUAGUAAAAAAAGACGGUCACAACCGUUAUUUAUUAAGAGAGGCGGGCAAAAGUCCGCAAAUUAGGGUGGUACCGCGUAAUAUAACGUCCCUGCU
rfam:Virgibacillus soli strain PL205 scaffold000046, whole genome shotgun sequence.